rnacentral:rRNA from 1 species
CCUACGGGAGGCAGCAGCCGCGGUAAUACGUAGGGUGCAAGCGUUAAUCGGAAUUACUGGGCGUAAAGCGUGCGCAGGCGGUUAUAUAAGACAGAUGUGAAAUCCCCGGGCUCAACCUGGGAACUGCAUUUGUGACUGUAUAGCUAGAGUACGGCAGAGGGGGAUGGAAUUCCGCGUGUAGCAGUGAAAUGCGUAGAUAUGCGGAGGAACACCGAUGGCGAAGGCAAUCCCCUGGGCCUGUACUGACGCUCAUGCACGAAAGCGUGGGGAGCAAACAGGAUUAGAUACCCUGGUAGUCCACGCCCUAAACGAUGUCAACUGGUUGUUGGGUCUUCACUGACUCAGUAACGAAGCUAACGCGUGAAGUUGACCGCCUGGGGAGUACGGCCGCAAGGUUGAAACUCAAAUGAAUUGACGG